rnacentral:rRNA from 1 species
UGGGGGAUAUUGCACAAUGGGGGGAACCCUGAUGCAGCGACGCCGCGUGAGCGAAGAAGUAUUUCGGUAUGUAAAGCUCUAUCAGCAGGGAAGAAGACGACGGUACCUGACUAAGAAGCUCCGGCUAAAUACGUGCCAGCAGCCGCGGUAAUACGUAUGGAGCAAGCGUUAUCCGGAUUUACUGGGUGUAAAGGGAGCGUAGGCGGCCUGGCAAGUCUGGUGUGAAAGGGCCGGGGCCCAACCCCGGGACUGCAUUGGAAACUGCCAGGCUGGAGUGCCGGAGGGGCAGGCGGAAUUCCUAGUGUAGCGGUGAAAUGCGUAGAUAUUAGGAAGAACACCAGUGGCGAAGGCGGGUUACUGGACGACAACUGACGGUGAGGCGCGAAAGCGUGGGGAGCAAACAGGAUUAGAUACCC